AUGCAGUUAAAAAACGCAUGGCGUUUUGAGCGUUGGUUUUGCCAACGACCCCUAUGGGGUGAGUAAAUCAGCUAUGCUGAUUUACGAAUAAAAAUAAC
rnacentral:ncRNA from 1 species